AUAUUGGACAAUGGGGGAAACUCUGAUCCAGCCAUGCCGCGUGUGUGAAGAUGGACUUAGUAUUGUAAAGCACUUUAAGUUGGGAGGAAAGGCGUUCGGUUAAUACCCUGAAGUUUUUCUGUUACCCACAGAAUAAGCACUGGCUAACCAUGUGCAAGCAGCCGCGGUAAUACAGAUGGUGCAAGCGUUCAUCGGAAUUACUGGGCGUAAAGCGCGCGUAGGUGGUUCAGUAAGAUGGGUGUGAAAGCCCCGGGCUUAACCUGGGAACUGCUUUCAUAACUGCUGAGCUAGAGUACGGUAGAGGGUAGUGGAAUUUCCUGUGUAGCGGUGAAAUGCGUAGAUAUAGGAAGGAACACCAGUGGCGAAGGCGACUACCUGGACUGAUACUGACACUGAGGUGCGAAAGCGUGGGGAGCAAACA
rnacentral:rRNA from 1 species